CGAGUUCUGCAUAGUCAUUACGACAGUUCCUGUCUUUCUGCCUGCUCUGCACUGGCAGACCCUUUGGCUCAUGCAGAGCCACAGUGAGUUUGAAAGGACUCUGCACUAGCACAGGAGUCCACACAUGGGGAUCUGACUGCAGAAUCAGGGUCACAGCUUUCCUUUCUCUGACUCUGAAUCAGAUUUUCCUCUGUGCUGAAGGCUAGGCAUAUGUUGCUGCAAGGACCCACUCCCUUGUUUCAGUAAAGACCCUGUAACUUUGCAGAAGCUGGUGUUAAAGAGGCAUAUGGCUGGAAACCAUCAGGGCCUCCUGCAAACGUAAGAACAGACCAUAGCCACAAGUGAGACCUCAUGACUCUAGUUCUUCUGGGUGCUGUAGUGUUUCAACAAGAUACUUCAUUAGAGAGUGGUGGAGAAAGGAAGUGCAGUGGACAGAAAGAAGAGUCAACGGGAAGAAAAGGAAUUCUGCAGAAGUAGAAUUAAAGGCCAUUUCCCUCUUGUGAAGUUCCUAGUGGGCCACAUGUGCAUGCGAUCUUGAGAUGAAAAAAUCAAAGGAAACUGGUGAAAAGAAAACUAAUUUAAACUUAUCAACUAUACCUAUGUUAAAUUCAUUCAGGAUGUUGUAGUUGUCACAAACAUAGUUUGGGGUUGUGUUGGGGACACUGCAAUGGGAAGUGGUCGACAUCUUCCCCCCUCAUUAGAAGUGUGGCCCACAGUCAAAGUAUGAAACACUGAUACAACGGCUUUUCUCAGGGCU